rnacentral:rRNA from 1 species
CAGUAACGGCGAGUGAAGCGGCAACAGCUCAAAUUUGAAAUCUGGCCCCCUCGGGGCCCGAGUUGUAAUUUGCAGAGGGAGCUUUUGGCGUCGGUCGUGGUCUAAGUUCCUUGGAACAGGACGUCACAGAGGGUGAGAAUCCCGUACGUGGCCGCCGGCCUUCGCCUUGUAAAGCCCCUUCGACGAGUCGAGUUGUUUGGGAAUGCAGCUCUAAAUGGGAGGUAAAUUCCUUCUAAAGCUAAAUACCCGCCAGAGACCGAUAGCGCACAAGUAGAGUGAUCGAAAGAUGAAAAGCACUUUGGAAAGAGAGUGAAAAAGCACGUGAAAUUGUUGAAAGGGAAGCGCUUGCGGCUAGACGUGCCCGCGGUUGAUCAUCCAGGCUCCGGCCUGGUGCACUCCUCCGCGGGCAGGCCAGCAUCAGUUCGGGCGGUCGGAUAAAGGCCUCUGUCACGUACCACCCCUCGGGGUGGCCUUAUAGGGGAGGCGCAACACGGCCAGCCCGGACUGAGGUUCCGCGCAUCUGCUAGGAUGCUGGCGUAAUAGCAGCAAGCGGCCCGUCUUGAAACACGGACCAAGGAGUCUAACAUCUAUGCGAGUGUUUGGGUGUCAAGCCCGAGCGCGCAAUGAAAGUGAACGGAGGUGGGAACCCUCACGGGUGCACCAUCGACCGAUCCUGAUGUCUUCGGAUGGAUUUGAGUAAGAGCAUAGCUGUUGGGACCCGAAAGAUGGUGAACUAUGCCUGAAUAGGGUGAAGCCAGAGGAAACUCUGGUGGAGGCUCGCAGCGGUUCUGACGUGCAAAUCGAUCGUCAAAUUUGGGCA